AAGUCGUAACAAGGUUUCCGUAGGUGAACCUGCGGAAGGAUCAUUAACACGUGGUUAUCCAUGUUCAACCCUUCGUGCUUGGUGCGUUUGGCCUCAAAUCUAUUGUGAAUGGAGAUUUUGUUAGGAUGAACUUGGUUUCCAAGGGAAUGGCUUGUGUAACAGUUGAAGUUGCGAAGUACAAGUAAUUUCGACAGUGAGAAGCUUUCCAUCCUAUUGCAGUUUCCAUUUAUAGACUCAAUUGAUUCAAAAAAACCCCGUAGUUAACUUAUUUCUAACUGAAAACUUAAUUGCUCUUUCUGACUUAACGGUUUGAAAUCAAUUAUUUUACGAAACAUUUGACAACUCUUAACAACGGAUAUCUUGGUUCUC
rnacentral:misc_RNA from 1 species